rnacentral:rRNA from 1 species
GACGAACGCUGGCGGCGUGCUUAACACAUGCAAGUCGAACGGAGUUCUUCAAUUGGAUCCUUCGGGUGAAGCUUGUUGAACUUAGUGGCGGACGGGUGAGUAACACGUGGGUAAUCUACCAUAAAGACCGGGACAACAGUUGGAAACGACUGCUAAUACCGGAUGUUGUGCACUAGCGGCAUCGCUUAUGCAUUAAAGGAGGCCUCUUAACAAUGCUCCCGCUUUAUGAUGAGCCCGCGUCUGAUUAGAUAGUUGGUGGGGUAACGGCCUACCAAGUCGACGAUCAGUAGCCGGCCUGAGAGGGUGAUCGGCCACAUUGGGACUGAGACACAGCCCAAACUCCUACGGGAGGCAGCAGUGGGGAAUAUUCCGCAAUGGGCGCAAGCCUGACGGAGCAACGCCGCGUGAAUGAAGAAGGUCUUCGGAUUGUAAAGUUCUGUCCUUAGGGACGAAGAAGCCAUGCGAAUAGUUUGGUGUAUGACGGUACCUAAG